GCAAGUCGAACGUGAAGCUGGAUUUAUUCAGUGGAAAGUGGCGGACGAGCGAGUAACACGUAAGCAUCUGCCCCGUACUCAGGGAUAACAUCAUGAAAGUGGUGCUAAUACCGGAUGGUCCCGCAAGGGUAAAGAUUUAACGGUACGGGAGGAGCUUGCGGCUUAUCAGUUAGUUGGUGGGGUAAAGGCCUACCAAGACUAUGACGAGUAGCUGGUGUGAGAGCAUGACC
rnacentral:rRNA from 1 species